GAGGAAAGUCCGAGCUCCAUAGGGCAGUGUGCUGGAUAACGUCCAGCGAGGGUGACCUCAGGGACAGUGCCAUAGAAAUUUAGACCGCCGAUCUGAUCGGUAAGGGUGGAAAGGUGCGGUAAGAGCGCACCAGCAGUCGGGUGACCGGCUGGCUUGGGUAAACCCCACAUGGAGCAAGACCAAAUAGGGAAGGGUUAAGGCGGCCCGUCGACCUUCCGGGUAGUGUCGCUAGAGGCGUUCGGCAACGGGCGUCCCAGAUAAAUGAUUGUCGCCGCCCGUGUGGCGGAACAGAACUCGGCUUA
rnacentral:RNase_P_RNA from 1 species